AUUGAACGCUGGCGGCAGGCCUAACACAUGCAAGUCGAGCGAGCGGCGGACGGGUGAGUAAUGUAUGGGGACUGCCCGAUAGAGGGGGAUAACUACUGGAAACGGUGGCUAAUCCCGCAUACUAUCGGAUAACCCAUAUGGGAUUAGCUAGUAGUGGGGGUAAAGGCUCACCUAGGCGACGAUCUCUAGCUGGUCUGAGAGGAUGAUAAGCCAAAAGGGGACUGAGACACGGCCCAGACUCCUACGGAGGCAGAAGUGGGGAAUAUUGCACAAUGGGCGCAAGCCUGAUGCAGCCAUGCCGCGUGGAUGAAGAAGGCCUUAGGGUUGUAAAGUACUUUCAGCGGGGAGGCGUUACCCGAAGAAGAAGCACCGGCUAACUCCGUGCCAGCAGCCGCGGUAAGUC
rnacentral:rRNA from 1 species